rnacentral:rRNA from 1 species
UACGGGGGGGGCAAGCGUUGUUCGGAAUUACUGGGCGUAAAGGGUGCGUAGGCGGCGCGGUAAGUCGGGGGUGAAAUCUCGGGGCUUAACUCCGAAACUGCAUUCGAUACUGCCGUGCUUGAGGACUGGAGAGGAGACUGGAAUUUACGGUGUAGCGGUGAAAUGCGUAGAUAUCGUAAGGAAGACCAGUGGCGAAGGCGGGUCUCUGGACAGUUCCUGACGCUGAGGCACGAAGGUCAGGGGAGCAAACGGG